ensembl:miRNA
AUAUUAGGUUGGUGCAAAAGUAAUUGCAGUUUUUGCCAUUGAAAGUAAUGGUAAAAACUGCAAUUACUUUUGUACCAAACUAAUAU